UACGUAGGGUGCAAGCGUUGUCCGGAAUUAUUGGGCGUAAAGAGCGUGUAGGCGGCCAUGUAGGUCCGGUGUGAAAACUCGAGGCUUAACCUCGAGAUGUCAUCGGAAACCAUUUGGCUAGAGUCCGGAAGAGGAGAGUGGAAUUCCUGGUGUAGCGGUGAAAUGCGCAGAUAUCAGGAAGAACACCAAUGGCGAAAGCAGCUUUCUGGGACGGUACUGACGCUGAGACGCGAAAGCGUGGGGAGCGAACAGG
rnacentral:rRNA from 1 species